rnacentral:rRNA from 1 species
UUUAAGUCUAAUGUGAAAGCCUUCGGCUCAACCGAAGAAGUGCAUUGGAAACUGGGAGACUUGAGUGCAGAAGAGGACAGUGGAACUCCAUGUGUAGCGGUGAAAUGCGUAGAUAUAUGGAAGAACACCAGUGGCGAAGGCGGCUGUCUGGUCUGUAACUGACGCUGAGGCUCGAAAGCAUGGGUAGCGAACAGGAUUAGAUACCCUGGUAGUCCAUGCCGUAAACGAUGAUUACUAAGUGUUGGAGGGUUUCCGCCCUUCAGUGCUGCAGCUAACGCAUUAAGUAAUCCGCCUGGGGAGUACGACCGCAAGGUUGAAACUCAAAAGAAUUGACGGGGGCCCGCACAAGCGGUGGAGCAUGUGGUUUAAUUCGAAGCUACGCGAAGAACCUUACCAGGUCUUGACAUCUUCUGCCAACCUAAGAGAUUAGGCGUUCCCUUCGGGGACAGAAUGACAGGUGGUGCAUGGUUGUCGUCAGCUCGUGUCGUGAGAUGUUGGGUUAAGUCCCGCAACGAGCGCAACCCUUAUUACUAGUUGCCAGCAUUCAGUUGGGCACUCUAGUGAGACUGCCGGUGACAAACCGGAGGAAGGUGGGGACGACGUCAAAUCAUCAUGCCCCUUAUGACCUGGGCUACACACGUGCUACAAUGGAUGGUACAACGAGUUGCGAAACCGCGAGGUUUAGCUAAUCUCUUAAAACCAUUCUCAGUUCGGACUGUAGGCUGCAACUCGCCUACACGAAGUCGGAAUCGCUAGUAAUCGCGGAUCAGCAUGCCGCGGUGAAUACGUUCCCGGGCCUUGUACACACCGCCCGUCACACCAUGAGAGUUUGUAACACCCAAAGCCGGUGGGGUAAC